rnacentral:rRNA from 1 species
UACGGGGGGGGUAAGCGUUGUUCGGAAUUACUGGGCGUAAAGGGCUCGUAGGCGGCCAACUAAGUCAUACGUGAAAUCCCUCAGCUUAACUGGGGAACUGCGUGUGAUACUGGAUGGCUUGGAUUUGGGAGAGGGAUGCGGAAUUCCUGGUGUAGCGGUGAAAUGCGCAGAUAUCAGGAGGAACACCGAUUGCGAAGGCAGCUCGCUGGGACGUAACUGACGCUGAGACGCGAAAGCGUGGGGAGCAAACAGG